rfam:Beta vulgaris subsp. vulgaris contig93612.1, whole genome shotgun sequence.
GGGUGCAAUCAUACUAGCAGUAAUGCACCGGAUCCCAUCAAAAUUUCGUAGUUAAGCGUGCUUGGGCGAGAGUAGUACUAGGAUGGGUGACCUCCUAAGGUCCUCGUAUUGCACCCC